GGGUCAGUAGGUUGGUCGUGCCACCGGUACGUACUGGUCUCGCUGAUUCCUCCUUCCUGAAGAACCGUAAUGCCAUUAAUUUGGUGUUGCGGGGAAACAGGACUGUUACUUUGAAAAAAUUAGAGUGUUUAAAGCAAGCUAACGCUUGAAUACAUUAGCAUGGAAUAAUGAAAUAGGAGGAUCGAUCCUAUUUUGUUGGUUUCUAGGAUUGACGUA
rnacentral:rRNA from 1 species